rnacentral:rRNA from 1 species
UACGUAGGGGGCAAGCGUUGUCCGGAAUCAUUGGGCGUAAAGCGCGUGUAGGCGGGUCGGUAAGUCCGCUCUGAAAGCCCGGGGCUCAACCCCGGGAGGCGGGUGGAUACUGUCGACCUCGAGUCCGGAAGAGGCGAGUGGAAUUCCUGGUGUAGCGGUGGAAUGCGCAGAUAUCAGGAGGAACACCAGUGGCGAAGGCG